rnacentral:tRNA from 4 species
UCGGCCGUGGUGUAAUUGGCAACACUUCGGGUUUUGGUCCCGACAUUCUAGGUUCGAGUCCUAGCGGCCGAG